GACAGAGGGGGCAAGCGUUGCUCGGAAUUACUGGGCGUAAAGGGCGCGUAGGCGGGAUGGCAAGUCGGUCGUGAAAUCCCUCGGCUCAACCGAGGAACGUCGAUCGAUACUGCUGUUCUUGAGGAUUGCAGAGGAGACUGGAAUUCCCGGUGUAGCGGUGAAAUGUGUAGAGAUCGGGAGGAACACCGGUGGCGAAGGCGGGUCUCUGGGCAAUUCCUGACGCUGAGCGCGAAAGCGUGGGGAGCAAACGGG
rnacentral:rRNA from 1 species